UGGCUCAGGAUGAACGCUAGCGGCAGGCUUAACACAUGCAAGUCGAGGGGCAUCGGGAGUAGCAAUACUGCCGGCGACCGGCGCAAGGGUGCGUAACGCGUGAGCAACAUGCCCGUAUCAGGGGGAUAAUCCAUGGAAACGUGGUCUAAUACCCCAUAGUAAUUAUGUAAGGCAUCUUAUAUAAUUUAAAGCUUUGGUGGAUACGGAUUGGCUCGCGUGACAUUAGCUGGAUGGUAAGGUAACGGCUUACCAUGGCUACGAUGUCUAGGGGUUCUGAGAGGAAGGUCCCCCCACACUGGAACUGAGACACGGUCCAGACUCCUACGGGAGGCAGCAGUGAGGAAUAUUGGACAAUGGAUGGAAAUCUGAUCCAGCCAUGCCGCGUGCAAGGAAGACGGCCCUAUGGGUUGUAAACUGCUUUUGUAUGGGAGCAAUAAGGGCUACGUGUAGUCCGAUGAGAGUACCAUACGAAUAAGCACCGGCUAACUCCGUGCCAGCCGCCGC
rnacentral:rRNA from 1 species